UAAGAAUAUACUCCGUAGAAAGCUUUGUGGCAAGAACAUAAGAAGCUAGGGACUCCCAAGUCCCAACAACCGAACUGAACUUGUUACUGCUAGUACCUGUUAAAACUUUGUUCUUUACUUAUUUCUGAGCAGAUUUUCUAUCUAAAAUUCUAAAUGCAUGUGAUUAGCUUCUAUUAUUUAUUGUUAAACUGAACUAAAAAUUCUUUGUUUCAUUACAGGCAGAUAAUGCCUUACAGGAGAGAGUUCAAGCUGCGUGUAUGUAGUAAUUCAAAACUGGAAGAGUUGAAAUGCAGAUACUAUAAGGAUUUGAGAGAAGGAGAAGACAGGAUCAGCGGAUCAAGAAAGUAUUUCCGAUGUCCAUAUUGUCAGGGUAAGAGAGGUAAGAAGUAUGAUAUGCAAAGGCUCCUAAAGCACUCUUAUCGGAUAGGUUAUGCUUCAAAGUCUUCAAGUUUGAGCGAUAAGGCUAGACAUUUAGGGUUGCUUAAGUAUUUAGAGAGGCGUAGAUAUGCUAAAAGUAAUGCUAGGCAUCCAUCGCCCAGUGAUCCAUCUACCAAUGGAGCUAAUGAAGAAACUUUUGUUUGGCCUUGGAUGGGAAUUGUUGCUAAUAUUCCUGUAUUAUAUAAGGAUGGAAAAUUUGUUGAUGAAAGUGGUCAAAAACUGAAAAUGGAGUUGGUUGCCAAAGGAUAUAAUCCAGUGAAGGUUUAUACAUUGUUGGCCGACAGGGGUUUUUCAGGAUAUGCCAUUGUUGAAUUUAAUUCUAACUUUUCUGGAUUUGCAAAUGCAAUGGCAUUUGCAUGGGAGUUUGAACUGGAUAAGCAUGGUAAGCAAGAAUGGUAUUCGAGUUUGAAAGAUGAGUCAGAUGACAAUCUUUAUGCAUGGAUUGCUGGCAAGGAAGAGUACAAUUCAAAUAGUAUCGUUGGGAAUUAUCUAAGGAGAAAUGGAGAUUUAAGAACCAUUUCUGAGAUCCGAAAUGAGAAUAGAAAAGAAAAUUCCCAACUAUUUUCCAACUUGAUCAAUGAGUUGGGGUUGAAGUACAAGGAAUGUGAAGAGAUGGAGAAAAUGAUAAGUGAAACUGAAGUUUUAAUGGGCAAUGUGAUGAAAGAAAAAGAGGAGAUGCUCUCAAUGCAUAAUAAAGAGUUGGAGAUGAUACAUCAGGAGGGAUUGAAACAGGUGGAAACCAUUUUGAGUGAGCAGGAGACAAGUAAACAACAAUUGGAUGAUCAUGAAAAAGAGCUGAAACUGCGAGAAGAUGAAAUAAGACAGCGUGAAAAACUUAAUGAAAGUGAGAAAAUGAAGCUUGACUGUGAGAAAGAAAUGAAUGAGAGAGCAAUUCUGGCACAAACGAAGGUUUCUGAGACAAUGAUGAAACUGGCUGAUGAACUGAAGAGAGAGAAGGAACAAGCCUUGGUGAAAAUCUUUAGGCUUGAAAGAGAACUUGAUCAGAAGCAAGCAUUGGAGUUGGAGGUAGAGAAGUUAAAAGGUUUGGUCAAAGUUAGGAGACACAUGAUGGAAAGAGGUUUGGCAGCUAGAAACAAAUGUACACCAAUCUUAGAAGAGCUGAUAGAAAAGCUAGAUGGACAUGAUCAUUUGGAAAACAUGACUUAUGAACUUACUAUAAAGCAUCGGCAUGUCGAUGAUCAGGUGCAGGAGGCUCGCAAAGAGAUGAUAAAUGAUGACUGGAUGGUCAUACAGACUCAUGCCACUUUCACUGCACCUCACCUGCUCACUGGAUGUGGAGGAAUCAUGCACAAUAACAAAGGAGACUGGGUAGGAGGCUUUAGUUGCUCCAUGAAGGCCAAUAACGCAGCAGAUGGAGAAGCAUGGGCAGUGUAUACUGGACUUAAUUGGGCAUGGAAUGCUGGAAAAAGGAAAGUGUGCAUUUUGAGCGAUGCGAAAGAGGUCGUGCUUUGGGUGAACAAGGGUCCUAUCCCGCAAGGGCCUUGCGGAAAAAUUAUUCAACAUUGCAAGGAUUUGAUGAUCAAGGACUGGGAAGUAAUCAUCGGUUAUAUUCCCUCCGAUUUGAACACUGCGGCUGAUGAGAUUGCUAAACUGGCACCUAGAAUAAAAUGUGAUUGGAUUGAGUUCCGGAGUCCGCCUUUGGAAAUCAUGGACCAACUCGAGACCGACAGAGCCAAGAUGGCGAUUUGGAAUGAUGCGAAUUGUAAUAUUUGAGUGUUAGUCAGCUAUGCCGAGAAAUCCAAUGACUUUGGGCAGAAGAUUUGAAGGCUUUCUUGGGAUCCUUGUUCAUUUGAUGUCAAAUUACUUAAUUAUCUGCCUUGCUUGAUAUCUAGACUGGAAUCCAAUUAAGGUUAUCGAGAAUGGAAGAAAAGAUGUGUGGGUGAUUGAUGAAGAAGAUGGGAAACUGGUGGUUCUGAGGAAAGAGUAUGGUGAUGAAGUGUAUAAUGCUGUGACCACUGCACUGAUGGAGUUGAAUGAGUACAAUUCCAGCGGCAGGUGUCUAGAGGUAGAGCUGUGGAAUACUAAGGAGAAAAGAAGAGCAGAACUGAAGGAAGGAGUUGAGCUAAUACUAAAACAAUGGCGGACGCUUAAGAACAGAGAUGUGUAGUUUGUCUCAAAUUUGCUCUAUCCGGUGUUAAUACCAGUAAUAGAAGUAUGUAUUGGCUUUUGGUAAUAGCUUAUAAUUAUGGAUUAAGAAGUUAGUGCCAAGUUUUUGCUUAGUAGUAGCAAGCUAAAAUAUGUGCACAACCAGAAAUCAAUGGUUAAGGGUUCGGUCA